rnacentral:rRNA from 1 species
CGUGUGCUUACAAGUAGUCAGAGCCCGUUAAUGGGUGAUGGCGUGCCUUUUGUAGAAUGAACCGGCGAGUUACGAUUUGAUGCAAGGUUAAGCAGUAAAUGUGGAGCCGUAGCGAAAGCGAGUCUGAAUAGGGCGUUUAGUAUUUGGUCGUAGACCCGAAACCAGGUGAUCUACCCUUGGUCAGGUUGAAGUUCAGGUAACACUGAAUGGAGGACCGAACCGACUUACGUUGAAAAGUGAGCGGAUGAACUGAGGGUAGCGGAGAAAUUCCAAUCGAACCUGGAGAUAGCUGGUUCUCUCCGAAAUAGCUUUAGGGCUAGCCUCAAGUGAUGAUUAUUGGAGGUAGAGCACUGUUUGGACGAGGGGCCCCUCUCGGGUUACCGAAUUCAGACAAACUCCGAAUGCCAAUUAAUUUAACUUGGGAGUCAGAACAUGGGUGAUAAGGUCCGUGUUCGAAAGGGAAACAGCCCAGACCACCAGCUAAGGUCCCAAAAUAUAUGUUAAGUGGAAAAGGAUGUGGCGUUGCCCAGACAACUAGGAUGUUGGCUUAGAAGCAGCCAUCAUUUAAAGA